GAAAGAUAAUGAACUAUGCCUGGGCCAGGAAAAGCCAGAGGAAACUACAUGGUCCUGACAUGUAAAUCGGUCAUCCAACCCAGGUAUAGGGGAGAAAGAUGAGUCGAGCCAUCUAAUAGCU
rnacentral:ncRNA from 1 species